rnacentral:rRNA from 1 species
GAUGAACGCUAGCUACAGGCUUAACACAUGCAAGUCGAGGGGAAACGACAUCGAAAGCUUGCUUUUGAUGGGCGUCGACCGGCGCACGGGUGAGUAACGCGUAUCCAACCUGCCCAUCACUUGGGAAUAACCUUGCGAAAGUAAGACUAAUACCCAAUGAUAUCCCACGAAGGCAUCGGAAUGGGAUUAAAGAUUUAUCGGUGAUGGAUGGGGAUGCGUCUGAUUAGCUUGUUGGCGGAGUAACGGCCCACCAAGGGAACGAGCAGUAGGGGUUCUGAGAGGAAGGUCCCCCACAUUGGAACUGAGACACGGACAAAACUCCUACGGGAGGCAGCAGUGAGGAAUAUUGGUCAAUGGGCGAGAGCCUGACCCAGCCAAGUAGCGUGCAGGAAGACGGCCCUAUGGGUUGUAAACUGCUUUUAUAAGGGAAUAAAGUGGGUCACGUGUGACUUUUUGCAUGUACCUUAUGAAUAAGGACCGGCUAAUUCCGUG